rnacentral:rRNA from 1 species
AUGUGUUCCGGCCUCGGCCCGCUCUGUUCCAAAAGGAUUCGUGUUUUAUUUUACCUGGAGUGGGCUACCCAACGACAGUGCGUGCGAUUGACUCACCUAUACAAAAGCCACAUGUUCUCCUUUCAGUUAAUAAUCCCGGCCUCGGCCCGCUCUGUUGCAAAAGGAUUCGUGUUUUAUUUUUACCUGGAGUGGGCUACCCAACGACAGUGCGUGCGAUUGACUCACCUAUACAAAAGCCACAUGUUCUCCUUUCAGUUAAUAAUCCCACAUUGCUCUUUUACAUCUAAUCUCAUCGAUUUAUAUAUGCAUGCCCUGGUGAUCGAAACAAGCGGCCAUGAAAAUUGA